AGCCGAUUCCAUGACUAUUUUGCUGCAACAGCGCAUUCUGCAAAUUUCAGCUGCUUCACUAGCUUCUCCUGUUUGUUGCUGAACCGAUUAUCCUGUUCUGCACUUGUUCCGCGGAAGAAUCCCGAGUCCCAUCUUCUGCCUCGCUCGGACCUGAUAUUUGUUCUUUAUUCUCCUAAAGCGGUAAUUGAUUUUAUAUUAUUAUUAAUUUUUUGGGGGGGGAGGUAAUGGAUUUUUGAGUGAUAAAGCAACCUUGCAUUCCUAAAAUGAACUCAACUUUUUCUUUUUUCCUUUUCUAAAAAAAUAUUGCUAGGUUAGGUUUUCUAAUGCUUUCUUUAAAAAUUUUUGCCUCCAUGUCUAUGAAGCACAUUUAUGUUUGAUUUACCUUUAUUACAAUGUUCUUGUCAAGUUUUACUAUCAAAAUUAUGCAGGUCUCAUAAAAUUAACUGAGAAUUGUUCUCACUUAAAAAAAAAAAGAUUUUAUUCAUUUAUUUAGGAGAGAGAGAGCACAGGGGCAGAGGCAGAGGCAGAGGGAGAAUCAGAGGGAGCCGGAUGUGUGACUGAGUCCCAGGACCCUGAGAUCAUGCCCAGAACUGAAGGCAGACACUUAACUGACAGGCCACCCAAGCACCUCGUUGCUUUUUUUUUUUUUUUUAAGAUUUUAUGUAUUUACUUUAGA
rnacentral:lncRNA from 1 species